UGAGGAAAGAAGAUAGGUAGGAAAUUCUAUUUAAAGAAAUGCUCAUGCCCUCUACCCAGGACAGGGAAUUGUCUCCUAGAGCAGAAUAAAUGUAAAAGGCUGAUGCCCGCACAGAGGUCUGGCAGGGCCAGCAGAGCCAUUGUUACAUCACUAUCAGACCUCAGUCACUCAAAAAGAAAGUCCCUAGAGCAGGAGGGCAGGUCAAGAUUGGUGUCACAUCUGGGAGAAUUCCUGCUCUUCAGUUCUGGGGUUAAUUUAACCCUGUCCUGUUAAAUUCAGGAGUGAACAUGUGACAGGUAUGAGCUGACGAAAUCUAAGUGAAAUGACGUAUGCCACUUCUGGACAGAAGCUUUGAGAACAAGCAGGUAUCUUGUAAGUUCACUUUUCUCUUUACUGCAAUCAAAAUUAGAGUUGCAGGUUUUGGUUCUUUUGUCAGCUUAGGUCCCAGAGUACCAACAGUGACAAUGGGAUGGGUCAUCCAUCUAACACGUAAUGAACAUAAAGUGUGAACAUGAUAUAAAUCCUGUUGCUUUAAAAUAAGUGGUGAGCAAACUAAGGCCCAAUUUGCUUUUGUAAGUAAAGUUUUAUUGGAACAUAGCCGUGCACAUUUGUUUAUGUGUUGACUAGGGUGCCAUUCGUGCUACAAUAGAAGAGUUGAGUAGUUGCAAUAGACACUCUGGCCCAUGAAGCCUAAAAUAUUUACCAUCUGGUCCUUUACAGAAAAAGGUUCUGACCUUGCUUUAAGUCAUUCAGAUUCCAGAGAUGUUUGUUGUUGCACCUUAAUCGAGACCAUCGUUUCAUCUGGUAUACUCCUAUCUUUGUAUUUGGUCGUAGCAUAGGUAGUGGACAUAAAUCCCCAUAUUAUUUGUUUUCAGGAUUACAUGAUGGAGGAGAUGACCUUGCAGUAGAGACUGACCUCGCUCUAGAGGAGCAGCCAAAUGAACAAGGCACUGAGUCCACGGGGCAGAGGCAGCUCAGUCACAACUCGGAUAAAAUCAACACGAGUUUUGCAAAUAAAGAAGUUCUGCCUUUAUCCUUAACCUUGGAUAUUCCUCAAGAUUGCUGUUCAGAACUGUGUCUUUUCCAGUCUGCUCUAAAGCUGGCAUGGCCCCAGAUUAGAAGGACAACUGGCCUAAUUCAGAUGAGCUGAUCCUUUUAUCUGUACUGCCAACAUGGUACUCUACUGUUGGAUAUGAAAGGAAACUCACAACCACCCUAUGAGAAUUUACUGAAUAUUCAAAUGAUAUCAAGGUAAGAACAUUAUGCUCAAAAAGGUCUUGUCGAAUCAGCUUUGGAUAUCCAAAUUAAAAACAUUUUUUAAGGAAGACAAACGUUGUAAUUACCAUAUU
rnacentral:lncRNA from 1 species